rnacentral:rRNA from 1 species
GUUUGAUCCUGGCUCAGAUUGAACGCUGGCGGCAUGCUUUACACAUGCAAGUCGAACGGCAGCGGGGUCCUUCGGGAUGCCGGCGAGUGGCGAACGGGUGAGUAAUGCAUCGGAACGUACCGUGUAAUGGGGGAUAACGUAGCGAAAGUUACGCUAAUACCGCAUACGCCCUGAGGGGGAAAGCGGGGGAUCGCAAGACCUCGCGUUAUACGAGCGGCCGAUGUCGGAUUAGCUAGUUGGUGGGGUAAAGGCCCACCAAGGCGACGAUCCGUAGCGGGUCUGAGAGGAUGAUCCGCCACACUGGGACUGAGACACGGCCCCAGACUCCUACCGGGAGGCAGCAGUGGGGAAUUUUGGACAAUGGGGGCAACCCUGAUCCAGCCAUGCCGCGUGCGGGAAGAAGGCC